rnacentral:rRNA from 1 species
GGAAUAUUGCACAAUGGGGGAAACCCUGAUGCAGCGACGCCGCGUGAGUGAAGAAGUAUUUCGGUACGUAAAGCUCUAUCAGCAGGGAAGAAAAAAAGUCCUUUGGACUUUGGACGGUACCUGACCAAGAAGCCCCGGCUAACUACGUGCCAGCAGCCGCGGUAAUACGUAGGGGGCAAGCGUUAUCCGGAUUUACUGGGUGUAAAGGGAGCGUAGACGGCCAGACAAGUCUGAAGUGAAAAUCCAGCGCUUAACGUUGGAAGUGCUUUGGAAACUGCCGGGCUGGAGUGCAGGAGGGGCAGGCGGAAUUCCUAGUGUAGCGGUGAAAUGCGUAGAUAUUAGGAGGAACACCAGUGGCGAAGGCGGCCUGCUGGACUGCAACUGACGUUGAGGCUCGAAGGCGUGGGGAGCA